AGCAGGGAUGGAUACUUUCACAGGUCAGGGGAGGUCAGUUUCCUCUUAGUCCUCAAAGGUGCGGGCUGAUUAGCAGGUCAGCUGUCUGAGCAAGACAGUAUUGAACCCAAGCCACCACUGUGAAGGGCGCCCGGAGGAUCUUUCUGGCGCAGAACAGCUCCGGCAAGCGACAGCCAAUCCAAGAUCUUUGCUCACCCUCUGGCGCUCAAGAAGGGGAGAGAUGGCAAGUAGAUGAGCCUCAAGGAGAAAGGAGAGAAAGUCUGUGCUGAACAGAUAUGGGGUCUUGCCAUGUUACCCAGGUUGGUCUCGAACUCCUCGCCUCAAGUGAUCCUCCUGCCUUGGCCUCCCAAAAUGCUGAGAUUACAGACAUGAGCCACUGCACACAGCCAAAGCACUGCAUGGUCGAUGAGAAAGAUCUCGCCCUUGGACCUCAGGCUUGCAUACUCUACUGUCCACUCAACACCUGCGACUGAAUGUGUAAUCUGCGUCUCAAAACCAGCCUGCCCCAAAUUGCCCGCUCCACCCCCAGCCACCUGCUCCUCCCCAUGCAAACUCGUCUCUGCUGAUGCAACGCCAUCCUUCCAGUUGCCCUGACCAAAAUCUCCAUCUUCCAAACCCCUGUCUUUCCCUUACAUCCCACAUCUGCUGUAAAAGCAACUCCUGCUGACUCACCCUUCAAAAAUCUAGCCAGAAUCCAACCGUUUCUCACCACCCCGCCACCAUCAGCCUUGUUCUCCCACCCUGGGCAACGGCAGCAGCCUCCUUCCUGGUCUCACCUGGUCUCCCUGCCUCCACCCUUCCACUCAAGUUUCAACUCAGCAGCUAGAAUGCUUGGUGAAAACAUAAAUCUGAGCAUGUCUCUUUCUCUGCCCUGUCACUCAGCAUAAAGGCCCAAGUUAUUAUAGUGGCCAACAGCCUGGGCCCCUUUCCUCCUCUGGCCUCCUCUUCAACCACCUCCCCCUGCUCCCCGGGGUUCCUCUUCCUCCUCCCAGUUUUUCCCUGACAUGCCCUGCCCUCAGAUGCCCACACGGCUCGCCCCUCACUUGUUUCAUUUUUCACUCAAAUGCCACUUCCCUGCAAGGCCUCAGCUGUCCCCCAUUUAGAGUUCUGCACCCCCUUUUCCCCACUCAUUUGUCUUCCAUGGCACUACUGCCAUGAGCACAUGAUGUACUUUGUUUGAUUUCUUUGUUUGAUUUCUUCUCCGUACCAGGGAUUUUUGUCUGUUUUCUUUGUUCCUGUAUCCCCCAGCACCUGGAACAAUGCUUGCCGUAUAGUAGGUGCCUAGUAAAUAUUUAUUCAAUCAAUCCAGCAAGCAGCAUAAGAAUCUCUGCAAUGGACAGCCCCAGAAGGUUGUGAAUCCUCCACUCCCACAGAGAUCAGAUGGUAGGAAGGAGAUCCACUUACUCAUUGCACAAGGACUCCUGGCUGCCUAGCAGGUGCCAGGCACUGUUCUAGGCACCAGGGAUACACCACGAACAAAUAGGACUAAACAAAGCAAAACAGAAGAAACCCUGCACAGGAGCUUACCUGACA
rnacentral:lncRNA from 1 species